AUUGAACGCUGGCGGAAUGCUUUACACAUGCAAGUCGAACGGUAGAGGGGGCAACCCCUCGAGAGUGGCGAACGGGUGAGUAAUAUAUCGGAACGUGCCCAGUCGUGGGGGAUAACGUAGCGAAAGUUACGCUAAUACCGCAUACGAUCUAAGGAUGAAAGCGGGGAUCGCAAGACCUCGCGCGAUUGGAGCGGCCGAUAUCAGAUUAGGUGGUUGGUGGGGUAAAGGCUAAACAAGCCAACGAUCUGUAGCUGGCCUGAGAGGACGACCAGCCACACUGGAACUGAGACACGGUCCAGACGCCUACGGGAGGCAGCAGUGGGGAAUUUUGGACAAUGGACGCAAGUCUGAUCCAGCCAUUCCGCGUGCAGGAUGAAGGCCCUCGGGUUGUAAACUGCUUUUGUACGGAACGAAAAGGUCUCUCUUAAUACGGGGGGCUCAUGACGGUACCGUAAGAAUAAGCACCGGCUAACUACGUGCCAGCCGCCGCGGUAA
rnacentral:rRNA from 1 species